UACGUAGGGUGCGGGCGUUAAUCGGAAUUACUGGGCGUAAAGCGUGCGCAGGCGGCUUUUCAAGUCAGGUGUGAAAUCCCCGGGCUUAACCUGGGAAUGGCGCUUGAAACUGGAAGGCUUGAGUGUGGCAGAGGGGGGUGGAAUUCCACGUGUAGCAGUGAAAUGCGUAGAGAUGUGGAGGAACACCGAUGGCGAAGGCAGCCCCCUGGGCUGACACUGACGCUCAUGCACGAAAGCGUGGGGAGCAAACAGG
rnacentral:rRNA from 1 species